GAUGAAGAACGUAGCGAAAUGCGAAAAGUAAUGUGAAUUGCAGAAUUCAGUGAAUCAUCGAAUCUUUGAACGCACAUUGCGCCCGCUGGUACUCCGGCGGGCACGCCUGUCCGAGCGUCAUUUCAACCCUCAAGCCCUCCUUCGGGAUGGGCCUGGUGUUGGGGCUCGGCCGCCAUCUCCGGCGGCCGUCCCCUAAAUACAGUGGCGGUCACGUCGCGACUCCUUUGCGUAGUAGAAACACCUCGCUCCGGAUAGCAACGCGGUCCACGCCGUAAAACCCCCAAUUUUCAAUGGUUGACCUCGGAUCAGGUGGGAAUAUCCGCUGAACUUAAGCAUAUCAAUAAGCGGAGGA
rnacentral:misc_RNA from 1 species